GCAGGUCCGGGUUCUGCUGAGCCAGUCUCUUGCGCUCAUCCUUAGCCCACACCAUGAAGGCGUUCAUGGGCCGGCGGAUCCUCGGCUCGCUCUUGCCGCGACUCUGGUUCCCCCCGCCGGCUGCAGCAGCCCCGGAGGUAGCGGAGGAGGAGACGCACGGCUCGCUCUUGACCUUGGGCUCCCCGAGGGGGCUGAGAGGGUCGGCCCACUGGCAGUGUCCCAUUCCAGGCAUCAUGACUGACAUCGCGCACCUUGCCUGGUUCUGAUCGUCGCUGGCGUAGCCCGCAUCGGGACUGCUCAUCUCUGUGCGGCGAGGAGGUUCGGAGGUUGACGGUGGGAGGACCUCCGAGCGCUGCUGGGAAGAGCAAAGGGAAGCUGCUGGCGUCCGAGGGGGAAGUGAGCGGCUUUGGUGCAGGUUUGGAAACACAGAGGGAGCCCCCCACUGGAACACACCGGUACUACACCUCAUGUCAAGCACCUUUGACCUCAUCCUGACCGCACGAAUGAACAACUUCCCUGUAGUACCUUAUUGAGGUAAGGUAUUCAUUUACCUUCUGAUGGUACCUUGAGCCUUGAAGAUGCAAUGCACCUACCAGCCCAGUAACAAAGAUAUAGAGUACCAUCAAGUGUAUUAGCUGGCAUCAGAU